rnacentral:rRNA from 1 species
GACGAACGCUGGCGGCGUGCUUAACACAUGCCAGUCGAACGGAAAGGCCCUGCUUUUGUGGGGUGCUCGAGUGGCGAACGGGUGAGUAACACGUGAGUAACCUGCCCUUGACUUUGGGAUAACUUCAGGAAACUGGGGCUAAUACCGGAUAGGAGCUCCUGCUGCAUGGUGGGGGUUGGAAAGUUUCGGCGGUUGGGGAUGGACUCGCGGCUUAUCAGCUUGUUGGUGGGGUAGUGGCUUACCAAGGCUUUGACGGGUAGCCGGCCUGAGAGGGUGACCGGCCACAUUGGGACUGAGAUACGGCCCAGACUGCUACGGGAGGCAGCAGUGGGGAAUAUUGCACAAUGGGCGGAAGCCUGAUGCAGCAACGCCGCGUGCGGGAUGACGGCCUUCGGGUUGUAAACCGCUUUCGCCUGUGACGAAGCGUGAGUGACGGUAAUGUGUAAAGAAGCACCGGCUAACUACGUG